rnacentral:rRNA from 1 species
GACGAACGCUGGCGGCAGGCUUAACACAUGCAAGUCGAGCGAGCGGCGGACGGGUGAGUAAUGUCUGGGAAACUGCCUGGUGGAGGGGGAUAACUACUGGAAACGGUAGCUAAUACCGCAUACCAUCAGAUGUGCCCAUAUGGGAUUAGCUAGUAGGUGGGGUAAUGGCUCACCUAGGCGACGAUCCCUAGCUGGUCUGAGAGGAUGACCAGCCACACUGGAACUGAGACACGGCCCAGACUCCUACGGGAGGCAGCAGUGGGGAAUAUUGCACAAUGGGCGAAAGCCUGAUGCAGCCAUGCCGCGUGUGUGAAGAAGGCCUUCGGGUUGUAAAGCACUUUUAGCGAGGAGGCGUUACCUGCAGAAGAAGCACCGGCUAACUACGUGCCAGCAGCCGCGGUAAUUC